UACGUAGGGUGCAAGCGUUGUCCGGAAUUAUUGGGCGUAAAGAGCUCGUAGGCGGUCUGUCGCGUCUGCUGUGAAAACUCGGGGCUUAACCCCGGGCCUGCAGUGGGUACGGGCAGACUAGAGUGCGGUAGGGGGAGACUGGAAUUCCUGGUGUAGCGGUGAAAUGCGCAGAUAUCAGGAAGAACACCCGUGGCUAAGGCGGCUCCUCUAGUACGGGUACUGACGCUGAGACGCGAAAAGCGUGGGGGAGCGAACAGG
rnacentral:rRNA from 1 species